rnacentral:lncRNA from 1 species
AUUAAAUUAUGUCCUGUAAGGCUCAUCUGUACGUACCCUUGAAACUUUAUGUCAAGUAGUUGAAUGUUAUAAAAAAAAGGCAUACUUGUUGCAAGAAGUCUGCAGCUCCUUGCCCUGGACAUUUGAAACCUAUUGUAUCAAAAAACUCAAGCAUAUGUCCUAUUCUGUUUCUUAUCAACUCCAGAAGUUGAGGACCUGGAUUAUCCUAAAUAGCAAUCAAAAUCUGACAUACAAUAAUACAAUAUUUUAAUUGCAAGUAAUUUAUUUUUUUAUAGAAAACUUUUUGUCUUAUU